rnacentral:misc_RNA from 1 species
GAUGAAGAACGCAGCGAAAUGCGAUAAGUAGUGUGAAUUGCAGAAUUCAGUGAAUCAUCGAAUCUUUGAACGCACAUUGCGCCUUCUAGUAUUCUGGGAGGCAUGCCUGUUUGAGCGUCAUUAAACCUCUCUCAAGUAUGAUUACUUGGAUGUGAAGGAAGAGUACCUUAAACUUAAGGAGUGUUCUCCUUUGAAAUUGAUUAGCAGAUGGUAAUGUUAUUAAAUCCCUGAUGUUGUAAGAAAUAACAGUGGUUUUGUAGACUAUUAUCUAGCUUUAAAUUAUAAUUUUUAUUAUGGUUGACCUCAAAUCAGGUAAGGAUACCCGCUGAACUUAAGCAUAUCAAUAAGCGGGGA